rnacentral:tmRNA from 1 species
CCGCUUGCGCCCGCCCGCCGCCGCGCCUAUAUUGCUUUUUGUCCGGGGCCUGCUCCGGACUAUGGCGAUAAACGCACCUGUAAUAGACGGCUCGGACCCGGGGGCGGUACCCGGCGGCUCCACCAUUUCUCCCGGCAUUGCGGGCGUGUGGGGCCGAAACAGGAUCGACGGACGUUCAAAGAGGCCAGCUUUUGCUCGGUGAGGUACCACCGUUAUCGGUCCAUGAUCACAGUUGCCAAUGACAACCGUGCUCCGGUGGCGAUGGCUGCGUAAGCAGCUCUCAAUACCAAACCUAAGCCCUUACGCUUAGCCGCGUAAGGCGGGGUUCGCAGGUACCUGGCAACAGAAACCUGCACU